CAUGUACUCCCUCCGUCCGGAAAUACUUGUUAUCAAAAUGAACAAAAGAAGAUGUAUCUAGACUUAUUUUAGUUCUAGAUACAUCCAUUUUUAUUCAUUUUGAUGACAAGUAUUUUCAGAUGGACGGAGUAUAAA
rfam:Triticum aestivum genome assembly, contig: Triticum_aestivum_CS42_TGACv1_scaffold_576975_7BL